AUACGUAGGGUGCAAGCGUUAAUCGGAAUUACUGGGCGUAAAGCGUGCGCAGGCGGUUUUGUAAGACAGUGGUGAAAUCCCCGGGCUCCACCUGGGAACUGCCAUUGUGACUGCAAGGCUGGAGUGCGGCAGAGGGGGAUGGAAUUCCGCGUGUAGGCGUGAAAUGCGUAGAUAUGCGGAGGAACACCGAUGGCGAAGGCAAUCCCCUGGGCCUGCACUGACGCUCAUGCACGAAAGCGUGGGGAGCAAACAGGAUUAGAUACCCUGGUAGUCCACGCCCUAAACGAUGUCAACUGGUUGUUGGGGAUUUAUUUUCUCAGUAACGAAGCUAACGCGUGAAGUUGACCGCCUGGGGAGUACGGCCGCAAGGUUAAAACUCAAAUGAAUUGACGGGG
rnacentral:rRNA from 1 species